UACGUAGGGGGCAAGCGUUGUCCGGAUUUAUUGGGCGUAAAGAGCGUGUAGGCGGCCAGGUAGGUCCGUUGUGAAAACUCGAGGCUCAACCUCGAGACGUCGGCGGAAACCCUCUGGCUAGAGUCCGGAAGAGGAGAGUGGAAUUCCUGGUGUAGCGGUGAAAUGCGCAGAUAUCAGGAGGAACACCGAUGGCGAAGGCAGCUCGCUGGGACGGUACUGACGCUGAGGCACGAAAGCGUGGGGAGCGAACAGGG
rnacentral:rRNA from 1 species